GAUGAACGCUGGCGGCGUGCCUAAUACAUGCAAGUCGAGCGAACAGACGAGGAGCUUGCUCCUCUGACGUUAGCGGCGGACGGGUGAGUAACACGUGGAUAACCUACCUAUAAGACUGGGAUAACUUCGGGAAACCGGAGCUAAUACCGGAUAAUAUAUUGAACCGCAUGGUUCAAUAGUGAAAGACGGUUUUGCUGUCACUUAUAGAUGGAUCCGCGCCGCAUUAGCUAGUUGGUAAGGUAACGGCUUACCAAGGCAACGAUGCGUAGCCGACCUGAGAGGGUGAUCGGCCACACUGGAACUGAGACACGGUCCAGACUCCUACGGGAGGCAGCAGUAGGGAAUCUUCCGCAAUGGGCGAAAGUCUGACGGAGCAACGCCGCGUGAGUGAUGAAGGUCUUCGGAUCGUAAAACUCUGUUAUAGGGAAGAACAAAUGUGUAAGUAACUAUGCACGUCUUGACGGUACCUAAUCAGAAAGCCACGGCUAACUACGUG
rnacentral:rRNA from 1 species